GGUAGCAAAAAUCUUUCUAGUGAUGUCUGGAGGCUUCUCUCGUGUAUGUCUACCAGAGUAUGGGUCCUUUACCCCACAAAUCAUAGAUCGAGUUAGUCUACAUGCCCCUCACUUUCUGAUCCAUGUUCAGGCUUGAGGCCUGUGAGUCUUCGUACAUCGUCGUCACCAUCUGAAUCCUCCAUUUCGUCAUCUGCAGAAAACAGAAUCUGACCAGCACAGGAGGAAGAGGCCAAAGAGUAAGACUGUGUUUAACUU